rnacentral:rRNA from 1 species
GACGAACGCUGGCGGCGUGCCUAAUACAUGCAAGUAGAACGCAGUUGCGAACGGGUGAGUAACGCGUAGGUAACUGCCUCAUAGCGGGGGAUAACUAUUGGAAACGAUAGCUAAUACCGCAUACUGUGAGAUGGACCUGCGUUGUAUUAGGUAGUUGGUGGGGUAAAGGCUCACCAAGGCGACGAUACAUAGCCGACCUGAGAGGGUGAUCGGCCAAACCGGGACUGAGAAACGGCCCAGGACCCUAACGGAGGCAGCAGUAGGGAAUCUUCGGAAAUGGACGGAAGUCUGAAUGAGCCACGCCGCGUGAGUGAAGAAGGUUCUCGGAUCGUAAAGCUAUGUUGUUAGAGAAGCGGUACCUAACCAGAAAGGGACGGCUAACUACGUGCCAGCAGCCGCGGUAAUUC